GAACAGACCCACUUUGCUUUGGCACAAGAGCAGUUAAGAAUGAAUAACAGCGGAAGCUAGGAAAUGAGUUGCAGAAUAAAUCAGAAGGAAUGGGGUAAGACAAUUGGAGGAGGAGGAGGUGGGUGGAAUGAAGAAAGAAAUGAACACAAAAUAAUGAGUAGCAAUUGACAGGAGCUGAGUAGAGUACUGGGAGGUAAAGAUAGCGAGGGGAGGGAUGAAGCUAUUAGGAGAGAGGAGGGGUAAGGCAAGAAAACAGGUUGCUAGGAAAAAGGGCAAGAGAUAGAAAGAGAGAGACGAUGAAAAGAAGGAAAAGGAGAUUUUGGAGAAGGGAGAAAGGGGUGGGGAGCAUGUGAGCUAGUGAGAGAGCAAAGGGGAUAUAAUUAUAUAUAUAUAUUAAAAGCAUAAAAGAGGGUAUAUUGAGGAUAAAGAGAAUAUGGUGAAGAUAAGAAUGUAGGAGCCGGUUGAAUGCAUUUUUAUCUGGGCUUCUGAAAAUAUAAAGAGACUUGUGGAGGCAGGGAUGAUAAAGAACAAUGACAGGAAAGGGGGGUAACAGAAAAUGCUGAAGGAAGAGUCAUAGAUGGAUGAGAUAUGCUAAAGAGAGAGAGAGUGUGUCGAAAAGCUAAAUAAAAGAGAGUUCCCAAUGUUAGAAGAGAAGCGGAUUAAGCGUUGUGCUUAUGAUACCCUGGAAUAUUUAAUACAUUUUUCCAAAAACGCUACCCUUCUGGAGGAGGAUACCUCAGAGAAGCAUCUGACCACCUGUGUAACUGUGCCGAGUAAAGAGCUGAUCGGAGAACCAAGCUACUGGAUUGAAUGGCCUGAUCAAAAAGCUUCCUUCUACCCUUAGAAACAUGCAUCUCAGGUGGCUGGCAAUAUAUCCUACUUUGGGAAAAGUACAGUGAUAUCUCCUCCUAAAUUCUACCUUAACUCCACCCACUCCCACUGAAUAGAUCUAAAUACCUUCCUUUGCAAGCAGGUUCUCUCCAAGAUUGUGCACCCUUUAUCUUCUUAAGGAAUACCAAGCCAUGUGAGCAGUUAAACAUUUUAGGGGCUGGAGAACCUAUUCCUCUAUAUACAUGGAAGCGAGCCAUUUUCAGCAGCUCAUCUGGAAGACUUAAUCUAAAGAUCAUCUUUCUAUUAGUAUUCAGCACAAACUGUUGUAAGGAUGCAUCUGAAGAAACAUGGUGUUCUAAAACCCCUCCUCACUUUCCUUCCUCACCAGAUGCCCUGACAUUUUGAUCAGUAUUAAAAGAUUAUCUGUUUCUGGAAGGAGUUUUGAACAAAAGAAGAGGAUUUGGUGAAUUAAGAAUUGCCUUACACUGCCCAAAUCUGAUUUAAGAAGGAAGAGAGAAAACCAUGCCAAAGAAGAUACCAGCUGCCAGAAUGGAAUCUUUCCACAGAACCUGACACAUUGCAUGCAGGUAUUCUUCAAAAUAAGUGCAAAGCAAAUUGGGCUGAAAAUGACACCAAGUGGCCGGCGAGAGGCAUUGAAUCCUGGGAAUCAAGUAGAAUCCAAGGAAGAUCGUGAGGAACGUGUUCUCGCCAUGUUGGGGAUCAUUGGGACAAUCUUGAAUCUGCUGGUCAUAAUCUUUGUCUACAUAUACACCACCAUAUAAAGCGAUGGAGUGUGGAGGCUACUGCUGUUUAACUGUAACGGUGAAUGGUGACCACAUGUAGCUAGACUACAUCCAAAAUGAAGAACAAACAUAUUAAUUAUCAAAGUCUGGAAUUACUGGGCUGGGCGACAAUGGAUAAUACUGAUGCACAGCACCAUUUUGAGGUAAAACAUUGUACUACAAACAAUAUAAAGGUGUGCCAAAAGCCACUGAAGGCAAAUGUCUGUUUACAUACUUUACUGCUACAGGUAAUUUUUUCAAAAUUAGCAGAUUUAAGCACAACUGGAAUCACAUAUGCUGCAUCCUGCAAACCAUCUCAAUAUUCAGCAGGUGUCUCCAAUGGAUGAGAACAUAUUCCUAAAAUGACUCUUUAAUGCUCAGUUAUGAGAUCUUUUGAGCAGUGGAAAUUAUUUGUAUGAAUCUAUCUUAGCCAACAGAGCAGAUUUGAGUGCUACCAGGUCUUUGCUUGCUUUGCUUCUGUAUCAACAUAUUGUGCAUCUUUUUGAAAGCUUAAACAUUUUUGAGGCACAGUGGUGUCCCUUGUCAUGCACGGAAAAAGUCGAAUAUCCUACUAACUAUAAUGUGUUGUUGGGACGACAGCAAAAAAUAAAUAUUACAGCAAACAUUUUAA